CAAAAGUUUGGUCCUGGCUUUCUUAUUAGCUGUAGCUAGACUUACACAUGCAAGUAUCCGCGAUCCUGUGAGAUAUGCCCCCAUAAUCCCGCCCGGAAAUGGGGAGCGGGUAUCAGGCUCAACAAAUUAGCCCAUAACACCUUGCCUUUGCCACACCCCCACGGGAACUCAGCAGUGAUAAAUAUUAGGCCAUAAGUGAAAACUCGACCUACUCAAGCUCAGACGGGCCGGUCAAGUUCGUGCCAGCCACCGCGGUUAAACGAACAGGCCCAAGUUAAUAAGACUACGGCGUAAAGGGUGGUUAGAAAAUAAUCCCUACUAAAGCCAAAUACUCUCAUGGCUGUCGCACGCUCUCGAGAAUUAGAAGCCCAACAUUACGAAGGUGGCUUUAACCCCUUUUGAAUCCACGGAAGCCAGGGUACAAACUGGGAUUAGAUACCCCACUAUGCCUGGCUGUAAACUUUGACAGCUAUCACUAACUGCUGUCCGCCUGAGAACUACGAACGAAAGUUUAAAACUCAAAGGACUUGGCGGUGCUUUACAUCCCCCUAGAGGAGCCUGUUCUGGAACCGAUGAUCCCCGUUAAACCUCACCUUCUCUUGCUCUAUUUCAGCCUAUAUACCGCCGUCUCCAGCUUACCCUGUCAAGGACACAAAGUAUAGCACAAUUGGCUAAUCCCCCAAUACGACAGGUCGAGGUGUAGCUUAUGAGAAGGGAAAAAAUGGGCUACAUUCCCUAGCAUAGGGAACACGGACUAGCCCUUGAACAGGGCUACAAAGGUGGAUUUAGCAGUAAGCUGAAAAUAGAGUGUUCAGCUGAAGUCGGGCCCUAAAGCGCGUACACACCGCCCGU
rnacentral:rRNA from 1 species